UAGUUGGUGAGGUAAUGGCUUACCGAGGCAUCGGUAGGUAGGGGAUCUGAGAGGAUACUCCCCCACACUGGUACUGAGACACGGACCAGACUCCUACGGGAGGCAGCAGUGAGGAAUAUUGGGCAAUGGAGGGAACUCUGACCCGGCCGGGUCGCGUGUAUGAAUACGGCCUUAUGGGUUUUAAACUACUUUUCUACUUGGAGAAAAAGUAUCAUUUAUUGAUACAUUGACAUGAAAGGUAGGAAUAAGCAUCGGCUAACUCCCGUGCCAGCAGCCGCGGUAGUACGGAGGAUGCAAGCGUUAUUCGGAUUUAUUGCGUUUAAAGGGUCCGUAGGCGGUAUAUCAAGUCAGUGGUGAAAUGCUUUAGCUCAACUGAAGGAGUGCCAUUGAAACUGAUAAACUGGAGAGUAUUGGGCGUUGGCGGAAUGUGUAGUGUAGCGGUGAAAUGCAUAGAUAUUACACAGAACACCAAAAGCGAAGGCAGCUAACGAUGAUACAGCUGACGCUGAUGGACGAAAGCGUGGGUAGCGAACAGGAUUAGAUACCCUGGUAGUCCACGCCGUAAACGAUGAUUACUAGAUGCUUUANGUCAUAGAUUUAAGUGUCUAAGCGAAAGUGAUAAGUAAUCCACCUGGGGAGUACGUUCGCAAGGAUGAAACUCAAAGGAAUUGACGGGGGCCCGCACAAGCGGUGGAGCAUGUGGUUUAAUUCGAUGAUACGCGAGGAACCUUACCUAGUCUUAAAUGAGCAUUGAAUAAUUUAGAGAUAGAUUAGUCUUCGGACAAUGUUCAAGGUGCUGCAUGGUUGUCGUCAGCUCGUGCCGUGAGGUGUCAGGUUAAGUCCUAUAACGAGCGCAACCCCUGCCCAUAGUUGCUAACAGUUUAAGCUGAGGACUCUAUGGGGACAGCCUGCGUAAGCGGAGAGGAAGGCGGGGAUGACGUCAAAUCAUCACGGCCCUUACGACUAGGGCUACACACGUGCUACAAUGGACGAUACAACGGGUAGCUAUACAGCGAUGUAAUGCAAAUCUCUAAAUUCGUUCUCAGUUCGGAUCGCAGUCUGCAACUCGACUGCGUGAAGCUGGAAUCGCUAGUAAUCGCAGAUCAGCCAUGCUGCGGUGAAUACGUUCCCGGGCCUUGUACACACCGCCCGUCAAGCCAUGGAAGUUGGAGGUAUCUAAAGUCGGUAACCGAGAGGAGCCGCCUAGGGUAAAAUCAGUAACUAGGGCU
rnacentral:rRNA from 1 species